UAAGCCUGUGAAGGUGUGCUGUGAGGCAUGCUGGAGGUAUCAGAAGUGCGAAUGCUGACAUAAGUAACGAUAAAGCGGGUGAAAAGCCCGCUCGCCGGAAGACCAAGGGUUCCUGUCCAACGUUAAUCGGGGCAGGGUGAGUCGACCCCUAAGGCGAGGCCGAAAGGCGUAGUCGAUGGGAAACAGGUUAAUAUUCCUGUACUUGGUGUUACUGCGAAGGGGGGACGGAGAAGGCUAUGUUGGCCGGGCGACGGUUGUCCCGGUUUAAGCGUGUAGGCUGGUUUUCCAGGCAAAUCCGGAAAAUCAAGGCUGAGGCGUGAUGACGAGGCACUACGGUGCUGAAGCAACAAAUGCCCUGCUUCCAGGAAAAGCCUCUAAGCAUCAGGUAACAUCAAAUCGUACCCCAAACCGACACAGGUGGUCAGGUAGAGAAUACCAAGGCGCUUGAGAGAACUCGGGUGAAGGAACUAGGCAAAAUGGUGCCGUAACUUCGGGAGAAGGCACGCUGAUAUGUAGGUGAAGUCCCUCGCGGAUGGAGCUGAAAUCAGUCGAAGAUACCAGCUGGCUGCAACUGUUUAUUAAAAACACAGCACUGUGCAAACACGAAAGUGGACGUAUACGGUGUGACGCCUGCCCGGUGC
rnacentral:rRNA from 1 species